AUUGAACGCUGGCGGCCGGCUUAACACAUGCACGUCGAGCGGAGCGGCGGACGGGUGAGUAAUGACUGGGAAUCUGCCUGGUAGUGGGGGAGAACGUCCGGAAACGGGCGCUAAUAACGCAGAGUAUAAGACGCGACUAGGUCGGAUUAGCUAGUUGGUGGGGUAAACGCCUACCAAGGCGACGAUCCGUAACUGGCAUGAGGGGAUGAUCAGUCAAACUGGAACUGAGACACGUUCCAGACUCAUACGGGAUGCAGCAUUGGGGAAGAUUGAACAAGGGGCGCAAGACUGAGCAAGCCAGGCGGAGUGGGUGAAGAAGGUCUUCGGAUUGUAAAGCACUUUAAGUUGGGAGGCGUGGACAACAGGAUAAGCACCGGCUAACGUCGUGCCAGCAGCCGCGGUAAUAC
rnacentral:rRNA from 1 species